rnacentral:rRNA from 1 species
GUUCCGAUCAUGGCUCCAGAUUGAACGCUGGCGGGAUGCUUUACACGCUCAAGUCGAACGGCAGCACAGACUUCGGUCUGGUGGCGAGUGGCAGACGGGUGAGUAAUGUAUCCGGAACUUGAUGCCUAGUAGCGGGGGAUAACUACGCGGCGUAGCUAAUACCGCAUACGCCCUUCGGGGGAAAGCGGGGGACCUUCGGGCCUCGCACUAUUAGAGCGGCCGAUAUCGGAUUAGCUAGUUGGUGGGGUAACGGCUCACCAAGGCGACGAUCCGUAGCUGGUUUUGAGAGGACGACCAACCACACUGGGACUGAGACUGGCCCAGACUCCUACGGGAGGCAGCAGUGGGGAGGUACCUGGACAAUGAAACCUGAUCCAGCCAUCCCGCGUGUGCGAUGAAGGCCUUCGGGUUGUAAAGCACUUUUGGCAGGAAAGAAACGGCACGGGAUAAUACCCCGUGCAACUGACAGUACCUGCAGAAUAAGCACCGGCUAACUACGUGCCAGCAGCCGCGGUAAUACGUAGAGUGCCAAGCGUUAAUCGGAAUUACUGGGCGUAAAGCGUGCGCAGGCGGUUCGGAAAGAAGAUGUGAAAUCCAGAGCUUAACUUUGGUUUCACGCUACCGAGCUAGAGUGUGUCAGAGGUGGAGAUUCCGCGUGUAGCAGUGAAAUACGUAGAUAUGCGGAGGAACACCGAUGGCGAAGGCUGGCCUCCUGGGAUAACACUGACGCUCAUGCACGAAAGCGUGGGGAGCAAACGGGAUUAGAUACCCUGUUGGUCCACGCCCUAAACGAUGUCAGCUAGCUGUUGGGGCCUUCGGGCCUUGGUAGCGCAACUAACGCGUGAAGUUGACCGCCUGAAGGUACGGUCAUAAGAUUAAAACUCAAAAGGAAUUGACGGGGACCCGCACAAGCGGUGGAUGAUGUGGAUUAAUUCGAUGCAACGCGAAAAACCUUACCUACCCUUGACAUGUCUGGAAUCCCGAAGAGAUUUGGGAGUGCUAAAGAGAACCGGAACACAGGUGCUGCAUGGCUGUCGAUCAGCUCGUAGUGAGAUGUUGGGUUAGAGUCACAACGAGAGCAGCCCUUGUCGUGGAUUGCUACGAAAGGCACUCUAUUGGGGCUGCCCGACAAACCGGAGGGAAGGUGAAAGUCAGUCAGCGGCCCUUAUGGAGCGAAGACCACACGUCAUACAAUGGUCGGGACAGAGGUCGCCAACCCGCGAGGAGGAACCAAUCCCAGAAACCCGAUCGUAGUCCGGAUCGCAGUCUGGCUCGAGCUUUGCCGUGAGUCGAAGAUCGCUGAUAAUCGCGGAUCAACGUGUCGCGGUGAAUACGUUCCCGGGUCUUAUACACCGCCGUCACCAUGGGAGUGGGUUUUACCAAGUAGUUAGCCCUAACCGUAAGGAGGGCGAUUUUGAUGGGGAUUCAUGACUGGGGUGAAGUCGUAACAAGGUAG